rnacentral:rRNA from 1 species
CCUACGGGUGGCUGCAGUGGGGAAUCUUAGACAAUGGGCGCAAGCCUGAUCUAGCCAUGCCGCGUGAGUGACGAAGGCCUUAGGGUCGUAAAGCUCUUUCGCCAGGGAUGAUAAUGACAGUACCUGGUAAAGAAACCCCGGCUAACUCCGUGCCAGCAGCCGCGGUAAUACGGAGGGGGUUAGCGUUGUUCGGAAUUACUGGGCGUAAAGCGCAUGCAGGUGGUUCAUUAAGUCAGAUGUGAAAGCCCGGGGCUCAACCUCGGAACUGCAUUUGAAACUGGUGAACUAGAGUACUGUAGAGGGGGGUAGAAUUUCAGGUGUAGCGGUGAAAUGCGUAGAGAUCUGAAGGAAUACCAGUGGCGAAGGCGGCCCCCUGGACAGAUACUGACACUCAGAUGCGAAAGCGUGGGGAGCAAACAGGAUUAGAUACCCCUGUAGUC